GGCUCAGCGGUCUAGUGGUAUGAUUCUCGCUUUGGGUGCGAGAGGCCACGGGGGUUCGAUUCCCGUCUGAGCCC
rnacentral:tRNA from 1 species